GACGAACGCUGGCGGCGUGCUUAACACAUGCAAGUCGAACGGAAAGGCCCUGCUUUUGUGGGGUGCUCGAGUGGCGAACGGGUGAGUAACACGUGAGUAACCUGCCCUUGACUUUGGGAUAACUUCAGGAAACUGGGGCUAAUACCCGAUAGGAGCUCCUGCUGCAUGGUGGGGGUUGGAAAGUUUCGGCGGUUGGGGAUGGACUGGCGGCUUAUCAGCUUGUUGGUGGGGUAGUGGCUUACCAAGGCUUUGACGGGUAGCCGGCCUGAGAGGGUGACCGGCCACAUUGGGACUGAGAUACGGCCCAGACUCCUACGGGAGGCAGCAGUGGGGAAUAUUGCACAAUGGGCGGAAGCCUGAUGCAGCAACGCCGCGUGCGGGAUGACGGCCUUCGGGUUGUAAACCGCUUUCGCCUGUGACGAAGCGUGAGUGACGGUAAUGGGUAAAGAAGCACCGGCUAACUACGUG
rnacentral:rRNA from 1 species